GUUGUAGCCCUGGAAAUGAAUGGAAUAGCCCACCAAUGAAUCAGGGCCCACUGACUGAAAUCUUAUCUUUGUGCCUUUGAAUUCACAUUGGAGCAAAGAAUUGAGAUGAAGGUUUUCAGAGACUGUAAAGAGCAUCCUCCUAUUGACCUGUGGUCUGCCGCGGUCUGGAAGCAGAUGAUCCUCCUUGUGGAAACAGAAGGUCCAUAGUGGCCUAAGGCUGCGUCACGAUGCUUGCAUGAUUCAUAUCACGUCUUCUCACCUCAGAGGCAUUUUGUCGUCUUACAUCACCACAGCAAGAAGGGUACUUGGGGAGACUUGAUGACUACUUGGCCCCGGAUGUUUCCCAAAGGCUUCCUGAGACUGGAGUCAUUCCUGCCUUCAAUCCUGAAAGUGCUUUAAGUGUAGGGAUGGCCGGUUCCCAGGGAUGAGACUAUGGGAUGAAUUGUGUAUCCACCAAGUUCAUAUGUUAAAAUCCCAACCCCUCACACCUCAAAUGUAAUGGUAUUGGAGGCAAAGUUUGAAGAGCCGACGUUUGAAUGAGGCCACUAAGUUUCGGGUGAGGCCUUCAUCCAAACUGACUGGUGUCCUGAUGAGAAGGCGAAAUUAGGACACAGAUGGAGAUUCUACAGAUGCCUGUGAACAGAGGAUUGAUCACAUGAAGAGGCAUCCAGAGGGCAGCCAUCUGCACGUCAACCAGGGAGGUCUCAAGGGAAACCAAUGGCACAGACACCUUGACCUUGGACUUUCAGCUUCCUAAACUAGGAGAAA